UACGUAGGGUGCGAGCGUUGCCCGGCUUUAUUGGGCGUAAAGGGCGCGUAGGCGGCCACGCACGUCCGUUGUGAAAUCGCCCGGCUCAACUGGGCGGGGUCGGCGGAUACGGCGUGGCUGGAGCAAGCUAGGGGGCAAUGGAAUUCCUGGUGUAGCGGUGAAAUGCGCAGAUAUCAGGAGGAACACCGGUGGCGAAGGCGGGUCUCUGGGCCGAUACUGACGCUGAGGAGCGAAAGCGUGGGGAGCGAACAGG
rnacentral:rRNA from 1 species